UAUGCUAGGUUAAAAUAAAAAACGCGAAGAUUAGAAUCAACCUUUUUUAUCCAUAUUGAAUCAAACUAAAUAUUUAUUAACUUCUAUAUAAUAAUAUUUUUGAAUCAACAAAUUCCUUUAUCGAAACAAAUGUUCCAUCUCAAUUUUCAUUUCAACUCAUAAUGAAUAUCGCUUCUACAAUAUAAUAUUGUAGAUUCUACAAAUUCCUUUUUUGUUCCAAAAAUGUUGAUGCAUUGAAUCUAAAAUUUUGUUUCGGUGUGUCUGACUAACUCACGAGAGCAGCCAUUUUGUGUUUGCGAAAUAAAUGAGAAAUGUCGAACGCGGAAGAAAAAAUUGAAGAGCUGGAGGUUGAAAGCCUCGACGAGGAAACAGCCGAGUUUUUGCGAAUUCUUGAGAGUUUUGGAUUAUCGGAUGCAGUUAUUAACGCGUUUUUAGGUAAGCUUAGAGUAUUUAAUUUAGGUUUUACCUCACAUUUAAGUGUUUUUCAGCUAAUCAGUAUACGAUAGAAACGCUACAAAUUAUUGAGCGGAAGGAGGUGGAAGAGCUGAUUCCCCAGCCAUUCCUAGCAGAAAGGACGAAAUUCAUCCACGGUUUGAACAUUUGGCGAAAACAGCAGGUAAUUUCCUCGGUGCUUUGUAAAUUUUUAAUAAUACUAAGUUUUUCCUUCACAGAAUCUCCCACUCUUGUCGACAACUGAAAGUUCCCCAGCGCCAGCUCAACCAGCCAGUUUCGUCGAAAUAUCUAGAGACAAGUGUACAGCUACGUACUUGCUUCAGGGGUCAGCCAAAGGCCAAGCGAUAUUGAAUAAAUACGAUAAAACGCCGUUUCUGACCAGAACUGACAAAAAAACUAUCACGCAGAUAGUAGUCGACGAGUUUAAAGACCGAUUUUCGAAACUAACCUCAUCGGAAUUGGAACAACGAUCGAUCGAGUUGUCCAAGUUAUUUCCAAGUGAGCCGAAGGUAGGUAUUUUCAAUACAGCGCGGAAUAUACGAUAGAUACGAUUUCAUUUUUCAACAGGAAGUAUGGUAUCAAUCACCGUGGAGUACUAAUAGCGUUGGACAAAAGAUCAAGCUCAGGAAGCAGGCUAGAGGAAAAUUGUACGAUCGUAACAUCAAUUACAAACCGGCGGUUGUAUAUGAUCUUCAACCAACAGCAUCCGGAAGCGUAGCGACUCAAUCUGCAGCAGAUAUAUCUGACGAACAUAUUGCAGAUUAUCAGCAGAUCAAAAAGUGGAUCGUUCAUAAUCAGGAUGAAUGGGAGGAGCUGAAAAAUAAGUGGAAGCAAACAUCCAGAUUGAGAGCAUUUGAACUAUCAAAGAACAACAGUAAGACUACAGCAUCUAUUCUUUCGGAUUAUUCUGUAUUCCGUAAUCACCAAGCUUAUCAGCUGGUACAGAUAGACUUCCAGCAACGAUAUCCAGACAAGGAAAAAUUACUCUUUGAUCGUUGGGAGCAGUUCGUUUCGGGUCUUCUUCCAAUACUGGAGAUUGAAGUCAACGAUUCAGAGGGGAAGGCGCUCAUCAAUCAGCUGAAAACUCCGGAAACGACUUGUGGUAUAUUUUAUGAACAUUCGACUAACAACAAAUGCUAAUAACAUAUUUUUCUAGAUGGUCAAGGCUUCCUAACAGUAUUACUGUUGGCCCACAUACUCCCAAGUCCUGUGUUGACGUUGUCACAAAAGCGACGUUGGAAGCCGUCAAUCGUAGAGUCUCGUGAUAGCGUGAUAAUCCAGAUUGAUAGUUUGACGGAACUACGGACAAUAUUGGCCAAAUGCUUCAAUUCCUGUCGUGAGAAAGGCAUUGAACCGACGCCUUUUGUCGUGAUUCAUGGAAGUAACCUGAAUCGCCCCGAAGGGUUUUCGGUGUGGAACAACGUAGUUUCAUACAAGCUGCCAAAUCUACAAAAAGCACUUGAUGUUUGUUUGAAGCUGUAUAAAACCUACGACAUCGAGUUUCCCCGACAUUCAUCUUCGAUCUGGAAUCUGCUAGCUGCGUUUCUCUACGAUUUUGAUGUUCCAUCGGAUCAAAUCCAUAUCGCUGCCCUUUGCUCUACAAUUCGGAAUAAUUGUUCAGCAAAAUGAUUCACUGCAUGGCACCACGGUGUACUUGGAAGAAUGUUUCGCUUCAAAGGCUACAUGAUCACUUGAGCAAAUACCAUGGAAAUCUAAAAGUAUAUGAAUGCAACGUAGGAGAAUGUACCAGAAAGUUCAACGUUAAAUGUUCAUUCUAUCGUCAUCUAAAAACACAUUUCAGCGAAGCAUCAAAUAUUAAAGCAAACAAUCCUGAAGAUAUACCCUUUUCCAUGUUGAACGAUUCCACUACAGCGUAUGCCGAAAAUUAUCAUCUAGCCACCGACCAAGAACAAAUUUCCCAUACACUAGGUACACCAGAACCCAUGUCAGUGAAUGACCCAACUCAACGACUUGAAGAUCUGCUGUGUACGACCGAGUUGGAUGCUCUUAUUCAGCAAAUGCAACAUGCAUCUAUAGACUUCAACCUCAAAUAUUUAAAUGCAAACACAGUUC